rnacentral:rRNA from 1 species
CACCGGCGGCUCGAGUGGUAACCGUUAUUAUUGGGUCUAAAGGGUCUGUAGCCGGCCGGAUAAGUCUCUUGAGAAAUCCAGCAGCUCAACUGUUGGGCUUUCAGGAGAUACUGUUCGGCUCGAGGCCGGGAGAGGUGAGAGGUACUUCAGGGGUAGGGGUGAAAGCUUGUAAUCCUUGAAGGACCACCAGUGGCGAAGGCGUCUCACCAGAACGGACCUGACGGCAAGGGACGAAAGCUAGGGGCACGAACCGG